UNUGACUUGAGUGCAGAAGGGGAGAGUGGAAUUCCAUGUGUAGCGGUGAAAUGCGUAGAUAUAUGGAGGAACACCAGUGGCGAAAGCGGCUCUCUGGUCUGUCACUGACGCUGAGGCUCGAAAGCGUGGGAAGCGAACAGGAUUAGAUACCCUGGUAGUCCACGCCGUAAACGAUGAGUGCUAGGUGUUAGGCCCUUUCCGGGGCUUAGUGCCGGAGCUAACGCAAUAAGCACUCCGCCUGGGGAGUACGACCGCAAGGUUGAAACUCAAAGGAAUUGACGGGGGCCCGCACAAGCGGUGGAGCAUGUGGUUUAAUUCGAAGCAACGCGAAGAACCUUACCAGGUCUUGACAUCCCGAUGCUAUUCUUAGAGAUAGGAAGUUACUUCGGUACAUCGGAGACAGGUGGUGCAUGGUUGUCGUCAGCUCGUGUCGUGAGAUGUUGGGUUAAGUCCCGCAACGAGCGCAACCCUUAUUGUUAGUUGCCAUCAUUAAGUUGGGCACUCUAGCGAGACUGCCGGUAAUAAACCGGAGGAAGGUGGGGAUGACGUCAAAUCAUCAUGCCCCUUAUGACCUGGGCUACACACGUGCUACAAUGGUCGGUACAACGAGUUGCGAGCCGGUGACGGCAAGCUAAUCUCUGAAAGCCGAUCUCAGUUCGGAUUGGAGGCUGCAACUCGCCUCCAUGAAGUCGGAAUCGCUAGUAAUCGCGGAUCAGCACGCCGCGGUGAAUACGUUCCCGGGCCUUGUACACACCGCCCGUCACACCACGAGAGUUUGUAACACCCGAAGUCGGUGAGGUANCCUUUUAGGG
rnacentral:rRNA from 1 species